GAACUCCUGACCUCAGGUGAUCCACCCACCUCACCUCCCAAAGUGCUGGGAUUACAGGAGUGAGCCAUCAUGCCUGGCCUAAAUUCCUUAAAACACGAAAUUCUGAAAUAAUGUUUAUAACACAUGGCUCAGCUUAAAAGUAUGUCAAGAGAUCGAGACCAUCCUGGUCAACA